rnacentral:lncRNA from 1 species
GUUCAUCUACAAGACUAGUUAAUAGAGGGGAGUAAAAGGCAGUUUUAGUGAGGAGGCAUACCUGGUGAGGACUGAAGGGGGGAAUAACCCAUCUCACCCUCCUUCUACUUUCUGGGGCAUAUAACAUCAACUCCUUAUAUCCCUUGUCCUAAACUUGAGUUGGGGGGAAGACUCUAUUCUUUCUCCCUUCCUCCAUUACACCCAAACCAACCCUCUGACACAAGUGGCACCCCAGAGGAAAAUCCACCAUUACCAACUAUCACAAACUGACAGUUGGAACUCUUAGGGCAAGAUAGCCAUCUUGAAUGACACUGCCUAAGAGUUAAUACACAGGAUCAAGAACAAACAUCAUUCAAGUUCUUGGAUUAGACCUCUAUCACACAAGAGAAUAUAUGACUGGAAAAGGAAGAUGUUGGGCUGCAUUGGCUUCUCCCACAAAUGGCUAUUUCAAUAAUCCAGUGUGUGCCAAGUGUAAAACACUCCAGAGAAGGAAGAGUGAGUAUCCAGUAAGAGAGCAUGAGCAUCCUGUGUCCCCUCUCUUAUAAAGCUAGUUUUUGCCACUCCUCCUUGGACUCUGUUUGGAUAGGCCUAAUCUCAUUCUGGGUCUGAGUCCUGACCACUCCACCCAUCACCUGGUGAUUACUCUCCCCUUACCAGCCUCCUUCCUUAUGCCAGACCACCAACACAACAGGUAAUUAAAAGGUAGGAGUGAUACUGAUCAAAGAUGGGUUUUCAAACAGAAUAAGUGAGUGCAAUUUAUAUUAAAUCCCCACACUCUAUUUGUUUCACUUUGGCUUGCAUUCCAAUCCAUUUUCUAUGCUUUGGAGACUCUUGAUAACUUUAGGCAAGUCAAAAGGACAAGAAUUUUAGACUAGAGAUUUCCAGUCAAGAUGGCGACGUAGAAGCAGCAAAAGUUCAGACCUCGGAAACCCUUCCUUACCAAUCACAAACAGAGUGCUCCUAGGACACUGAAAUUCAAGCUGAACAACAGGAUAGACCUGGGGAACCCUCCUCCUGGACCUGGAUUGAAAGAUACCGCACCCCAAAAGCCAGAACCCUAGAUCACUCGGAUCUAAGGGGUAGGCAGAAGGAAGGUCCCAGGACCCAUCCCCCCCAACCCAGAGUGCUGAGCCCAUGGCAGCAGUGGGAACCUCAGGGCUCUGAGGACUCAUCUUGAAAGCAACCUGAGCCAAUCUCUGGGGCGCCCAACACAGACAUCAGGGAAACAUAGAGAGAAGGGGGAAGCCUGUAGCCCCCUGGCUGGGUCCUUCCAUCUGAGUCUCAAGGGAGGUCCCAGCAUUAGGGCACCAGCUGAACCCAAUCCCAUCAGGAGCCCUCAGAGCUACUGAAAGGACAGAAAACUCAGGGCUGGCAAAGGGGUUGCUCCGAAGAGCUCACCUUGAAAGUAACCCAGGCCAGUCUCUGGGCAUUCAACACAGACUGUGAAGGAGGAAGUUGUUUUUUUCCCUUCCUUUUUUUGGCUCAGGGAUCAUUCAGCCCACACCACCUGAACCUAAUCCCAUCAGGAGCCCUCAGAGCUUCUGA